UUAAGCGACUAAGCGUACACGGUGGAUGCCCUGGCAGUCAGAGGCGAUGAAGGACGUGCUAAUCUGCGAUAAGCGUCGGUGAGGUGAUAUGAACCGUUAUAACCGGCGAUUUCCGAAUGGGGAAACCCAGUGUGUUUCGACACACUAUCAUUAACUGAAUCCAUAGGUUAAUGAGGCGAACCGGGGGAACUGAAACAUCUAAGUACCCCGAGGAAAAGAAAUCAACCGAGAUUCCCCCAGUAGCGGCGAGCGAACGGGGAGGAGCCCAGAGCCUGAAUCAGUGUGUGUGUUAGUGGAAGCGUCUGGAAAGGCGUGCGAUACAGGGUGACAGCCCCGUACACAAAAAUGCACAUAUUGUGAGCUCGAUGAGUAGGGCGGGACACGUGGUAUCCUGUCUGAAUAUGGGGGGACCAUCCUCCAAGGCUAAAUACUCCUGACUGACCGAUAGUGAACCAGUACCGUGAGGGAAAGGCGAAAAGAACCCCGGCGAGGGGAGUGAAAAAGAACCUGAAACCGUGUACGUACAAGCAGUGGGAGCCUCUUAAUGGGGUGACUGCGUACCUUUUGUAUAAUGGGUCAGCGACUUAUAUUCUGUAGCAAGGUUAACCGAAUAGGGGAGCCGAAGGGAAACCGAGUCUUAACUGGGCGUUAAGUUGCAGGGUAUAGACCCGAAACCCGGUGAUCUAGCCAUGGGCAGGUUGAAGGUUGGGUAACACUAACUGGAGGACCGAACCGACUAAUGUUGAAAAAUUAGCGGAUGACUUGUGGCUGGGGGUGAAAGGCCAAUCAAACCGGGAGAUAGCUGGUUCUCCCCGAAAGCUAUUUAGGUAGCGCCUCGUGAAUUCAUCUCCGGGGGUAGAGCACUGUUUCGGCAAGGGGGUCAUCCCGACUUACCAACCCGAUGCAAACUGCGAAUACCGGAGAAUGUUAUCACGGGAGACACACGGCGGGUGCUAACGUCCGUCGUGAAGAGGGAAACAACCCAGACCGCCAGCUAAGGUCCCAAAGUCAUGGUUAAGUGGGAAACGAUGUGGGAAGGCCCAGACAGCCAGGAUGUUGGCUUAGAAGCAGCCAUCAUUUAAAGAAAGCGUAAUAGCUCACUGGUCGAGUCGGCCUGCGCGGAAGAUGUAACGGGGCUAAACCAUGCACCGAAGCUGCGGCAGCGACACUAUGUGUUGUUGGGUAGGGGAGCGUUCUGUAAGCCUGUGAAGGUGGCCUGUGAGGGUUGCUGGAGGUAUCAGAAGUGCGAAUGCUGACAUAAGUAACGAUAAAGCGGGUGAAAAGCCCGCUCGCCGGAAGACCAAGGGUUCCUGUCCAACGUUAAUCGGGGCAGGGUGAGUCGACCCCUAAGGCGAGGCCGAAAGGCGUAGUCGAUGGGAAACAGGUUAAUAUUCCUGUACUUGGUGUUACUGCGAAGGGGGGACGGAGAAGGCUAUGUUGGCCGGGCGACGGUUGUCCCGGUUUAAGCGUGUAGGCUGGUUUUCCAGGCAAAUCCGGAAAACCAAGGCUGAGGCGUGAUGACGAGGCACUACGGUGCUGAAGCGACAAAUGCCCUGCUUCCAGGAAAAGCCUCUAAGCAUCAGGUAACAUCAAAUCGUACCCCAAACCGACACAGGUGGUCAGGUAGAGAAUACCAAGGCGCUUGAGAGAACUCGGGUGAAGGAACUAGGCAAAAUGGUGCCGUAACUUCGGGAGAAGGCACGCUGAUAUGUAGGUGAAGCGACUUGCUCGUGGAGCUGAAAUCAGUCGAAGAUACCAGCUGGCUGCAACUGUUUAUUAAAAACACAGCACUGUGCAAACACGAAAGUGGACGUAUACGGUGUGACGCCUGCCCGGUGCCGGAAGGUUAAUUGAUGGGGUUAGCGGCAACGCGAAGCUCUUGAUCGAAGCCCCGGUAAACGGCGGCCGUAACUAUAACGGUCCUAAGGUAGCGAAAUUCCUUGUCGGGUAAGUUCCGACCUGCACGAAUGGCGUAAUGAUGGCCAGGCUGUCUCCACCCGAGACUCAGUGAAAUUGAACUCGCUGUGAAGAUGCAGUGUACCCGCGGCAAGACGGAAAGACCCCGUGAACCUUUACUAUAGCUUGACACUGAACAUUGAGCCUUGAUGUGUAGGAUAGGUGGGAGGCUUUGAAGUGUGGACGCCAGUCUGCAUGGAGCCGACCUUGAAAUACCACCCUUUAAUGUUUGAUGUUCUAACGUUGGCCCGUAAUCCGGGUUGCGGACAGUGUCUGGUGGGUAGUUUGACUGGGGCGGUCUCCUCCUAAAGAGUAACGGAGGAGCACGAAGGUUGGCUAAUCCUGGUCGGACAUCAGGAGGUUAGUGCAAUGGCAUAAGCCAGCUUGACUGCGAGCGUGACGGCGCGAGCAGGUGCGAAAGCAGGUCAUAGUGAUCCGGUGGUUCUGAAUGGAAGGGCCAUCGCUCAACGGAUAAAAGGUACUCCGGGGAUAACAGGCUGAUACCGCCCAAGAGUUCAUAUCGACGGCGGUGUUUGGCACCUCGAUGUCGGCUCAUCACAUCCUGGGGCUGAAGUAGGUCCCAAGGGUAUGGCUGUUCGCCAUUUAAAGUGGUACGCGAGCUGGGUUUAGAACGUCGUGAGACAGUUCGGUCCCUAUCUGCCGUGGGCGCUGGAGAACUGAGGGGGGCUGUUCCUAGUACGAGAGGACCGGAGUGGACGCAUCACUGGUGUUCGGGUUGUCAUGCCAAUGGCACUGCCCGGUAGCUAAAUGCGGAAGAGAUAAGUGCUGAAAGCAUCUAAGCACGAAACUUGCCCCGAGAUGAGUUCUCCCUGACUCCUUGAGAGUCCUGAAGGAACGUUGAAGACGACGACGUUGAUAGGCCGGGUGUGUAAGCGCAGCGAUGCGUUGAGCUAACCGGUACUAAUGAACCGUGAGGCUUAACCUU
rnacentral:rRNA from 1 species